AAAUUGAAGAGUUUGAUCAUGGCUCAGAUUGAACGCUGGCGGCAGGCCUAACACAUGCAAGUCGAACGGUAACAGGAAGCAGCUUGCUGCUUUGCUGACGAGUGGCGGACGGGUGAGUAAUGUCUGGGAAACUGCCUGAUGGAGGGGGAUAACUACUGGAAACGGUAGCUAAUACCGCAUAAUGUCGCAGGACCAAAGAGGGGGACCUUCGGGCCUCUUGCCAUCAGAUGUGCCCAGAUGGGAUUAGCUUGUUGGUGAGGUAACGGCUCACCAAGGCGACGAUCCCUAGCUGGUCUGAGAGGAUGACCAGCCACACUGGAACUGAGACACGGUCCAGACUCCUACGGGAGGCAGCAGUGGGGAAUAUUGCACAAUGGGCGCAAGCCUGAUGCAGCCAUGCCGCGUGUAUGAAGAAGGCCUUCGGGUUGUAAAGUACUUUCAGCGGGGAGGAAGGGGAU
rnacentral:rRNA from 1 species